CAGCUACUGAAAACCGAAUAAUAAAAUAUAUGGUCUUGACUUCGAGAAUUUGAGAAAUAAGUAAUAAUAAAAAUUCGCAAUUCAAAUGCUUCACUGGCAUUUACGCUUAAGAAUUAAAUUCAUGUAUCCAACAUGGAAAUCGAUGACGAAGAUGUUGUCGUAGACGGCACAGAUUUACACAAGUAUUUGAACACGGUUGGAUACUCUGAAUUUGAAGUUUCUAAACGAAAAUCUGUUGAAAACCUUUAUCCAACUGAAGGACGAAAAUGUUCAAGAAAAAUAAUAAGAUCAACCCAAAAUCAAAAGGAUUUUGGAUUGUGUGUAACAUUAAUCAAGAUAAUUAUGGAGAGCCAACUUAUUUUCAAAGAAGAUACUUUAUUUAUUAAGGAAUUUAUUCCAUCAGAACACAUUAAAUAUCCUCUAUUUCUUACAAAACGGAAAAGUAUUACUCUACUUAUAUUAUGCGUAUUCUGUGGUAUUAUGAAUAUUUUUUUUUCAAAAUACUGGGACGAAUGGACAACCGUCAGCAUGUUCAUUUUUUGGUUUGGUUGUGUGUUUAUGAAUGUACUGUAUGACCUAAAUCAAAAUAGAACAAUUAAAAAUACUGCAAUCAAAACUAUUCGAUCAAUGGAAAAAUUAUCUCUGCUGAUACAAAAGUCUACUCAUUUUCUUCAAGAAUGUAACAAUCUUCAUAAUAGUUGUUAUCAUACAUAUGCUGGUAAAAAUCCCGAUUCCUUCAAAUACUUAUUGAUGCCAGAAUUAAAAUCUUUACUUAUAACUAUGUUACAAGAUUUGAUCAAUAAUCUUGUAUAUAACAUAUCUGAUGUUCACACAUUUUUCCCAUUGAAAGAUUCUGUUUCCAACAUUGUUUAUUUGUACCGCACAGACUGCCAAAUUGAUUUAAAUAACACUUCAAUUGAAAAUAUAAACAAAGCCAAGUAUACUUAUUUUUUAUUGCAAUCAGAAUUUUUGAAACAAUCAGCAUUGUGUUUAUGUCCAUCAUUAUGGACUCCUCGCAGUUUUUUUCAUGUGAAUCGUCUAAUUAAAACUAUUGGUAAAAUUGAAGAAGUGUAUUCAAACUCAUGUGAUGUUCUUUAUGAUGAGUAUAAUGUUUAUUCGAUGUUUAAAAAUAAUACUAAAGAACACAGUAAGCAACCAGUUCAAGGAACAAACAUAAAUUCUGAUCUGAAAUUGAAGAUAUAUAGUAUUCGACAGUUUUUACAAAAUAUGAUGGUGCAUGUACGAUUCAUGGAAGACUCAAUUGAAAACUCUUCAGCUUACAAUAUUGAUGAUAUAAAUAGUACAUUGAAUGUUUUAGUAAAAGAAGUCAGUGUUUUUAAUGAACUUAUUUCAACUUUACAAAUUAACAUUCUAAAAAGAAAUAAUAAUCAAACAGAUAAAACUAUAUUAACUAAUGAUACUACUGGAGUAACUGACCAUAUAGAUACAGAGACCAAUGAACCAAUCAAAGAAGUCUGUGAAGAUGAAUUAUUUUUUGGUGUAUCUGAAGAAUCUACUGAAAAAAUGGACAAUACAUUUUGUAAUGAAGUAAUAUUUGAUAAGUCUAACAAUCAUAAUUUAAUGUUAGAACUGAAAGUGGCGCUUAAAGAUAAACAAGCAGAAUGGAAACAACGAGAAUGCAAGUUGUUAGAAAAACAUCCACAGUUAAAUGACUUGUCUGAUGACGAUGAAUGUAAUGAUACACAAGUCCAAUACCUAAAUAAAGUGCGUAAAGUAGCAUUAGACUUGCCUCCCGAUGAAAACUUUCCUAUGCAAUUGCCUGGUAAAAGCUUUGCUAGUGAAAUAGCCAUGGUUGCUUGUAAACGAAAUACAACAAUUGAUUGUUUUGGAGAUGAUUCUGAUUCAAAUUCGAGUAUAUCAAUAGACUCAAAUGACUCUUAAAUUUUAUUAAAACUAUCAGUUUAUUGCCAGAUUAUUGAAGACUAAUUAUGUUUUCAGUCUAUGCAAUAUGAUAAGUUCUGUUAAUCCAAUCAAAGUUGUACAUGUAACAUUAUCUUGGUUUACAAAAACAACACGUUACAUACAUUGAAGGAACUCUUUAAAGAUCUCCAUUUUAAUAUGCUCUACAACCAUUUGAAGCUAUCAACAAUUAACAUUUAUCACUGAAGAUGUGGACGAGAUUAAUAACAAUUCUAUACAAUUUUCAGCUUACUGGACAGAUAAAAUAUAACUGCAAAAAAGACCAGACACUAAAAGAAAAAGAAUUAAUCACUAAUUAUUUGUAUAAGUAUUCAAUAUUAAGAACAGAACUUGUUAUAAUAUCAUCAUUAAAAGUUUAUGUAUUAAUUAAUGGGUUCUGAAACCUUUAUUUAAGAUCAGUGACUGAAAAAAUGCUGUUACAAACACUUUCCCAAAAGACUGGGCACUGGGAUACGCAUUUCUAACCAUAAUGUAACAUUUUUUUGGAUUCAAAUAGCCAGGAGACCAUUUAAUGCACACCUGUACUAAAAUCUUUGCAUUCUAUGAAGAUUUUUUAUCUUUGACAAUUAUAUAAACAAAUAUAAAUAAGUUGAUCAAUGUUGAAUCUAUCAUAUUCAAAAAUUGUAUGUAAUUUAAAGAAUAAAGAUACACAAAUAUUCA